rnacentral:rRNA from 1 species
CCUACGGGAGGCAGCAGUGAGGAAUAUUGGUCAAUGGGCGCGAGCCUGAACCAGCCAAGUAGCGUGAAGGAUGACUGCCCUACGGGUUGUAAACUUCUUUUCUAAAGGAAUCAAGUGAGGCACGUGUGCCUUUUUGUAUGUACUUUAUGAAUAAGGAUCGGCUAACUCCGUGCCAGCAGCCGCGGUAAUACGGAGGAUCCGAGCGUUAUCCUGAUUUAGUGGGUUUAAAGGGAGCGUAGACGGGUGUUUAAGUCAGUGGUGAAAGGUUGCGGCUCAACCGUAAAAUUGCAAUGGAUACUGGCAGUCUUGAGUACAGUUGAGGUAGGCGGAAUGCGUGGUGUAGCGGUGAAAUGCUUAGAGAUCACGAAGAACUCCGAGUGCGAAGGCAGCUUACUAAACUGCCACUGACAUUGAUGCUCGAAAGUGUGGGUAUCAAACAGGAUUAGAUACCCGAGUAGUC